rnacentral:tRNA from 1 species
GCCGAAGUGGCGGAAUGGUAGACGCAGCGGAUUCAAAAUCCGCCGCCGCAAGGCGUGAGGGUUCGAGUCCCUCCUUCGGUA